AUGGUCCAGAUACUGUCACUUAUCCACAGCAAAAAGGGGACUCUGAGUAGCAUGCCCUACAUACCAGCUGACGUCACAAACCUACAGGCAAAGUACCGUAGAGAAAGCAAGUUGGCUGACAUAGAGGCCACAAUGGCCUACUUUGAUGAGAAAGCGAAGGAAGAUCCAGAUUUCUUCUACAGGAUAAGGUUGGACAAUAAGGACCGUGUCAGGAACAUGUAUUGGGUGGAUGGUGCUGCAAGGAGAGCCUACAAACAUUUCCGAGAUUGCAUUUCAUUUGACGCGACGUAUCUCACUAAUAUGUACAAGAUGCCAUGCCUCCGUUCAUAG
rnacentral:rRNA from 1 species